GUUAGUCUAGACAUCAAUAUCACAAACACAUCACACAAAGUGAAAUUCUACUCGAUGGCUUCUUUCAAUCAAUCUCGACUUUGGGUAAUUUUGUGUGUUGCCUUUACUUUGCUCUCAGGAUUCAUAACAAAUCUAGAUGCCAUGACUCCGCAACCAAUAUAUAAGUGCCUCGAACGUAAGGAUUGCGUAGAUAAUAUACAGUGCACAAACAGUUGUUCUUUUUUCGGAUAUAAAAAAGGUGGUAUAUGUUUAUCUAAGACUUGUUGUUGUUAUACAUAGUGAUAGUGAUAUUAUUGUACUCUUUAAUACCAAUGAAAUAAAACUCAUAUAUGCAAUAUUGAAUGAAUAAAACUCAUAUAUGCGAUACUUUUGAAACA